CUACGGUUACCUUGUCAUCAGUGGAACGUCUUUCUCCCUCUCUCGCCUAACGCAAAGCCCUCCACCUCCCCACGAGUUCCUUUCUUCCUGCACUUGCCUUUUGCUGUAUGUAGCUGCCCAACUGAGAGCCAACAGAUCUCACUCAAAUAAGGCUCUUAACCACCAGCAGGUUACAACAAUGACUUGGAUUCACAAACGGCAACCUCACACGUGGAAGUGUAUCACCACAACUCGCGAAGGGAUUCCACUCGACAAGUGGAUCACAUCAGAGCAGAGAUCCUGUUGAUCGACUUGAGAGAGAACGAUGUGGCCGCAGACAGACAGGAGAAUGGGGCACCAAGUCUGUGCAUCUUACCAACCUCACUGAAAA